GCGUACGGCCACACCAUUGUGAAUGCGCUUGAUCUUGUCAUAUCUCGGAAGCUAAACACAUUCAGGCUCGGCCAGUACUUUGAUGGGAGACUGCCUGGGAAUCCCGAGUGCUGUAAGCU
rnacentral:rRNA from 1 species